CCCUUAGAUGUUCUGGGAUGCACGCGCGUUACACUGAUUCGUUCAACGAGUUUAUGACCUUGCCUGGUGAGGUGGGGGAAUCUUUUCAAAUCGCAUCGUGAUGGGGAUAGAGUAUUGUAACUGUUAGUCUUCAACGAGGAAUUCCUAGUAAGUGCGCGUCAUCAGCUCGUACUGAUUAUGUCCCUGCCCUUUGUACACACCGCCCGUCGCUCCUACCGAUUGAGUGCUCAGGUGAAUAGUAUGGACUGCAUCAGCGUUCGGUCUCCGAGUGCUGAAGCGAGAAAUUCUGUGAAUCUUAUUGCUUAGAGGAAGGAGAAGUCGUAACA
rnacentral:rRNA from 1 species